CAUGGAGGACCGCAUUUCUACUUCCAGGACUUCAGGAAUCUGCUGCUAACGUCUUACUCCAGAUGCCACAGCACAUCUUCAGAGGUCUGGUGGAGUCUACAGGUGGGUUAGAGGAAACAA